rnacentral:rRNA from 1 species
AUUGAACGCUGGCGGCAGGCCUAACACAUGCAAGUCGAGCGGAUGAAGGUAGCUUGCUACCUGAUUCAGCGGCGGACGGGUGAGUAAUGCCUAGGAAUCUGCCUGGUAGUGGGGGACAACGUUUCGAAAGGAACGCUUAUACCGCAUACGUCCUACGGGAGAAAGUGGGGGAUCUUCGGACCUCACGCUAUCAGAUGAGCCUAGGUACGAUUAGCUAGUUGGUGAGGUAAAGGCUCACCAAGGCGACGAUCGUUAACUGGUCUGAGAGGAUGAUCAGUCACACUGGGACUGAGACACGGUCCAGACUCCUACGGGAGGCAGCAGUGGGGAAUAUUGGACAAUGGGCGAAAGCCUGAUCCAGCCAUGCCGCGUGUGUGAAGAAGGUCUUCGGAUUGUAAAGCACUUUAAGUUGGGAGGAAGGGCAGUAAGUUAAUACCUUGCUGUUUUGACGUUACCGACAGAAUAAGCACCGGCUAACUUCGUGCCAGCCGCCGCGGUAACAC